GUCCUAUUUAGGAGCAAGGAUUGCCCCUACGGCUGUUUGGCCUCAAAAGAUACAGUUGAGGGUUGAUUCCUUGCAUACUUUAAAUGAUUUUCAGAAAUUGUUAGGCGAUAUCAAUUGGAUUCGGCCCUAUUUGAAGAUCCCAAAUGUUAAAUUAAAACCUCUGUUUCAAAUUUUAGAAGGAGACUCAGAGUUAAGUUCCAAAAGGGAAUUAACACCUGAGGCUAGAAAGGCCCUUGCCCUAGUGGAAGAAGAAUUGAUUAAAGCCCAGCUUCAGUGUUGUAGAGAAGGGUUACCCAUCAUGUUGAUAAUAUUACCUACUGAGAUGCAACCCAUAGGAUUAUUGUGGCAAGAAGGCCCAUUGUUAUGGAUCCAUUCCAAAAUAUCUGCUGGGAGGACAUUAGAUCAUUACCCUACAACAAUGGCUUCUUUAGCCUUGUUGGGAAUUCAGCAUUGUUUACAAUAUUUUGGUAUAAAACCCAGCUCUAUUGUAAUCCCUUAUUAUGGGUAUCAGCAAAAGGUCCUAACAGCAAAUAUUGAUGAGUGGGCUAUUUUAGCCUGUAUUAAUGAGGGCCCAUUUGAUAAUCAUUAUCCCAAACAUCCGUUAAUGACCUUUUUUUAAGGAACAUCCAGUCAUUUUCCCUCAAGUGGUGAGGAAAACACCCAUUAAGAAUGCAGUUAACGUGUUUACUGAUGGAUCAAAAACCGGAUGUGGAGUAUAUAUGGUAGAGGGGAAAGAUCCUGUGGUCAGGCAGUAUUAUCCCUGUACUCUGCAGAUGGUAGAAUUACAAAUAGUUAUUGAGGUCAUUAAGGAUUGUGAUUUUUCUUUUAAUCUAAUUUCAGAUUCACAAUAUGUAGUUAAUUUAGUUUUAUCCCUAGAAGUGGCUGGCCAAAUAAAAGCUCGUAGUACCAUCCAAGCCUUGGCCUUACAAUUACAGAAGUUGCUGUGGGAAAGACGCCAACCAUUAUAUAUUGGACAUAUCCGUGCCCAUAGUGAGCUUCCAGGACCCUUAAGUAGGGGAAAUGAUAUUGUGGAUGUGUACUUGUAUAGAGUUCAUAUUUUUAGCAUCCCCUAUGGAGUUAGCCUCACAAUUUCAUUCUAAAUUUCAUGUUAAUGCUAAAACUCUGCAGAGAAAAUUUGGAAUCUCUAGAGCACAAGCUCGGGAUGUAGUCACUACCUGUGGACGUUGCCUGGAGUUUCAACACCCACCUUCUUAUGGAGUGAAUCCUAGAGGAUUGCUCCCUCUAUAGGUGUGGCAGAUGGAUGUGACACAUUUUCCAGAAUUUGGCAAAUUGAAAUACGUUUAUGUAUCUAUUGAUACAUGUUCAGGAAUAGUUUAUGCAUCUCCCAUGGCAGGGGAAAAGGCCUCCCAUGUUAUACAGCAUUGUUUGGAGGCCUGGGCAGCUUGGGGUAAGCCCCAACAACUUAAAACAGACAAUGGCCCUGCAUAUACUGCCAAAACCCUGGUGUCUUUUUGUCAACAGAUGGAAGUACAAGUUAAACACGGCCUGCCAUAUAUAAUCCUCAAGGCCAAGGAAUCAUUGAACGAGCACAUAGAACCUUAAAAGAAUUAUUAAUAAAACAAAAAGGGGGAAUAGGCUAUGGCCAUAUCCCAAAGAUAAGACUCUCCUUAGCUCUUUUUACCUUAAAUUUUUUGCAAUUGGAUAAGGAAGAUCGCUCUGCUGCUGAACGACAUGCUAAUACCAGCCCCAGUAAACUGGGGUAUGCUAAAUGGAAGGAUGUGCUUACAGGAUCAUGGAAUGGUCCGGAUCCCGUGUUAGCCUGGGGGAGAGGGUCUGUUUGCAUGUUUCCACAGAAUCACGCAGAGCCAGUGUGGGUUCCAGAGCGGCUAGUGCGAUGCUGUCAAAAUGAAGAAGCUGAUCUUGCUGGUGAUGACCAUGUGUCUGCCCCUGAUGGGUGCGGAACUGAGAUGGGGGAUACUGUUGGUGUUUAAAUUGGACUGCAAAUUUUGAUGGCAAUAUGAAUGAGCUUCGCUCGGUGAUUGUCACUGUGAAUUCUACCCGAGUGGAUCCUGGCUUGGCACUGGGAAAGAAUGGACUGGGAUAGGUGCCCUCGCUGUGGCCCUUGUUUUGGCAUGCAUGUGUGUAUGGUGUAUGUGUCGGUUCCGGAAUGCCCAGGUCCACACUGCCGCCAUGGUGGUGCAAGCUUUUGCCACAGUGGAAUCAGGGCAGUCACCUCAGAUUUGCAUGAAGAGUGAACAAUGAAGCCAUCGCUCCAUAGGGUUGUAAGGCUAAGCACUGCACAGAGGUUAGUCUGGAAGCUGUUUGACGAUCUCUGGGAGUUAUGUCUGAUUGCAUGAGGGUUGAGUGUCCUACCCCCAGGAAAAAGUCAGGGUUGCUCUGGGUAAAAACCUGUGAGCCUAAGAAUCAAUCCUGUACAUGGCUCCUAUCUCUGCACACUGGGGAUCAGACCUCUAUCUUCACCCACAGAGCUUGCCUCAAAAGAAUAUAAAGGGGGGAAUUGUGGGAAGCCAUUCCGGACUCCCUGGUCAGCUGAAAAUCUGUGACAGGCAGUAAACAAGCCCAUGUUUGGUGGAUGGCCCGCCUUUAAUCCCUGAUUGGCUGAGCAAGCCUGCCUGGUGAGGUGAUGUGACCUGUGGUGAUUGGUGGGGGCGUGGUUGUGGCUUGAGUGG
rnacentral:lncRNA from 1 species